rnacentral:rRNA from 1 species
UACGUAGGGUGCGAGCGUUGUCCGGAAUUACUGGGCGUAAAGAGCUUGUAGGUGGUUUGUCGCGUUGUUCGUGAAAUCUCACGGCUUAACUGUGAGCGUGCGGGCGAUACGGGCAGACUAGAGUACUGCAGGGGAGACUGGAAUUCCUGGUGUAGCGGUGGAAUGCGCAGAUAUCAGGAGGAACACCGGUGGCGAAGGCGUGUCUCUGGGCAGUAACUGACGCUGAGAAGCGAAAGCGUGGGGAGCGAACAGG